rnacentral:rRNA from 1 species
GUUUAUGGCAGUACCACCCUGAACAUGCCAAAUUUUGUCAGAUCAGAAGCUAAGCAGGGUGGGGCCUGGUUAGUACUUAGAAGGGCAAAAAAAGAUUCAGAUUCCGUAAAUU